rnacentral:rRNA from 1 species
GAUAAACGCUUGCGGUGUGCCUUAUGCAUGCAAGUCGAACGGGUCCGAUUUAUCGGACUAGUGGCGAACGGGUGAGUAACGCGUAAGUAACCUGCCCUUAAGUAGGGGAUAACUCUGAGAAAUUAGAGCUAAUACCGUAGUGGUGGUAGGGGUAAUGCUCUAUUACUAAAGCCUUAGGGUGCUUGGGGAGGGGCUUGCGUCCGAUUAGCUAGUUGGUAGGGUAACGGUUUACCAAGGCGAUGAUCGGUAGCUGGUUUGAGAGGACGGCCAGCCACACUGGGACUGAGACACGGCCCAGACUCCUACGGGAGGCAGCAGCAAGGAAUAUUGUGCAAUGGGCGAAAGCCUGACACAGCGACACCGCGUGGGGGAUGAAGGCUUUCGGGUUGUAAACCCCUUUUCUCAGGGAAGAAAAAUGACGGUACCUGGGGAAUAAGUCUCGGCUAACUACGUGCCAGCAGCCGCGGUAAUACGUAGGAGGCGAGCGUUAUCCGGAUUUACUGGGCGUAAAGAGAGCGUAGGUGGCUUUUCAAGUCGGAUGUAAAAUCUCCCGGCUUAACUGGGAGGGGUCAUUCGAUACUGUUAGGCUAGAGGGCAGCAGGGGGAGGUGGAAUUCCCGGUGGAGUGGUGAAAUGCGUAGAUAUCGGGAGGAACACCAGUGGCGAAGGCGGCCUCCUAGGCUGCUUCUGACGCUGAGGCUCGAAGGCGUGGGGAGCGAACAGGAUUAGAUACUCUGGUAGUCCACGCUGUAAACGAUGGACACUGGGUAUGGGGGGGUAUCGACCCCCUCCGUGCCGAAGCCAACGCGUUAAGUGUCCCGCCUGGGGACACGGCCGCAAGGCU